AGUUCACAGUUUUAGCCUGCUGGCUGUGAGCACACCUCUUGACCCUCACGGUGAGGACCCGGUGGGGUUCUAGAAGUUGGGUGUUCGGACUUUCCCAUACCCCUCCUCACGGUGCAGAGGACCAAUGGCACAUGCCUGCUCAGCAUGGAACUACGCUUACCUUUCCUAGAGUGCCAGGAAGUAGCCCCUGUCCCCCCCCCCCUGUACCCGCUGCUGAGCUCAGUGCCUUGACACAAUGACUUCAAUCUGAAGGAGAUGUCCCCCCUUUCUCCCAAGUCCAGGGCCAGAGGGAUGGACACCUGUCCCAUAAUGGCCUCCCCCCCCCAGGGACCCUUUAUGUCCUCCCACUGUGCUGCCAUUGAUG
ensembl:processed_transcript